AUUGAACGCUGGCGGCAGGCCUAACACAUGCAAGUCGAGCGGAUGAAGGGAGCUUGCUCCUGGAUUCAGCGGCGGACGGGUGAGUAAUGCCUAGGAAUCUGCCUGGUAGUGGGGGAUAACGUCCGGAAACGGGCGCUAAUACCGCAUACGGCCUGAGGGAGAAAGUGGGGGAUCUUAGGACCUCACGCUAUCAGAUGAGCCUAGGUCGGAUUAGCUAGUUGGUGGGGUAAAGGCCUACCAAGGCGACGAUCCGUAACUGGUCUGAGAGGAUGAUCAGUCACACUGGAACUGAGACACGGUCCAGACUCCUACGGGAGGCAGCAGUGGGGAAUAUUGGACAAUGGGCGAAAGCCUGAUCCAGCCAUGCCGCGUGUGUGAAGAAGGUCUUCGGAUUGUAAAGCACUUUAAGUUGGGAGGAAGGGCAGUAAGUUAAUACCUUGCUGUUUUGACGGUACCAACAGAAUAAGCACCGGCUAACUUCGUG
rnacentral:rRNA from 1 species